UACGGGGGGGGCAAGCGUUGCUCGGAAUCACUGGGCGUAAAGCGCACGUAGGCGGCUUUUUAAGUCAGGGGUGAAAUCCUGGAGCUCAACUCCAGAACUGCCUUUGAUACUGAGAGGCUUGAGUCCGGGAGAGGUGAGUGGAACUGCGAGUGUAGAGGUGAAAUUCGUAGAUAUUCGCAAGAACACCAGUGGCGAAGGCGGCUCACUGGCCCGGUACUGACGCUGAGGUGCGAAAGCGUGGGGAGCAAACAGG
rnacentral:rRNA from 1 species